rnacentral:rRNA from 1 species
CGCAAUGGACGAAAGUCUGACGGAGCAACGCCGCGUGAACGAUGAGGGCCUUCGGGUCGUAAAGUUCUGUUGUUAGGGAAGAACAAGUACCAGAGUAACUGCUGGUACCUUGACGGUACCUAACCAGAAAGCCACGGCUAACUACGUGCCAGCAG